rnacentral:rRNA from 1 species
CCCUUAGAUGUUCUGGGCGGCCCGCGCACUACAAUGGCGCUUUCAGCGAGUUCCUAUGUUGAAUUUUCCUUGGUAUUCUUGGAAGCGGCGUCUAGACUUGGGAUAGAUCCUUGUAAUUGUUGGUUUUGAACGAGGAAUUCCUUGUAAUCGCGGUUGAUCAGCUCGCGUUGAAUACGUCCCUGCCCUUUGUACACACCGCCCGUCGCUCCUACCGAUGAAUCGUCCGGUGAAGUUCACAGAGUGGCGGUUCGUGGAGUUGCUCGCGAAGUGAAAUGGACCUCACGAUUUAGAGGAAGGAGAAGUCGUAACA